GAUGAACGCUGGCGGCGUGCCUAAUACAUGCAAGUCGAGCGAAUGGAUUGAGAGCUUGCUCUUAUGAAGUUAGCGGCGGACGGGUGAGUAACACGUGGGUAACCUGCCCAUAAGACUGGGAUAACUCCGGGAAACCGGGGCUAAUACCGGAUAACAUUUUGAACCGCAUGGUUCGAAAUUGAAAGGCGGCUUCGGCUGUCACUUAUGGAUGGACCCGCGUCGCGUUAGCUAGUUGGUGAGGUAACGGCUCACCAAGGCAACGAUGCGUAGCCGACCUGAGAGGUUGAUCGGCCACACUGGGACUGAGACACGGCCCAGACUCCUACGGGAGGCAGCAGUAGGGAAUCUUCCGCAAUGGACGAAAGUCUGACGGAGCAACGCCGCGUGAGUGAUGAAGGCUUUCGGGUCGUAAAACUCUGUUGUUAGGGAAGAACAAGUGCUAGUUGAAUAAGCUGGUACCUUGACGGUACCUAACCAGAAAGCCACGGCUAACUACGUGACAGCAGCCGCCGUAA
rnacentral:rRNA from 1 species